rnacentral:rRNA from 1 species
AACGCGAAGAACCUUACCAGGUCUUGACAUCCUGCUGACCGGCCAGUAAUGUGGCCUUUCCUUCGGGACAGCAGAGACAGGUGGUGCAUGGUUGUCGUCAGCUCGUGUCGUGAGAUGUUGGGUUAAGUCCCGCAACGAGCGCAACCCCUAUUUUUAGUAGCCAGCAAUUCGGUUGGGCACUCUGGAGAGACUGCCCGGGAUAACCGGGAGGAAGGCGGGGAUGACGUCAAAUCAUCAUGCCCCUUACGAUCUGGGCUACACACGUGCUACAAUGGCGGACACAAAGGGAAGCGAAGCGGUGACGCUUAGCAAAGCCCAAAAAUUCCGUCUCAGUUCGGAUUGUAGUCUGCAACUCGACUACAUGAAGCUGGAAUCGCUAGUAAUCGCGAAUCAGAACGUCGCGGUGAAUACGUUCCCGGGUCUUGUACACACCG